rnacentral:tRNA from 1 species
UAUGUUUUAUUAUAUUAUGUAUAAAAGUUUUUGAUACUUUAGGUAAUAGUUUGAGUCUGUUAAACAUAU